UACGAAGGGGGCGAGCGUUAUUCGGAAUCACUGGGCGUAAAGGGCGCGUAGGCGGAUUGUUAAGUCGGGGGUGAAAUCCUGGAGCUCAACUCCAGAACUGCCUUCGAUACUGGCGAUCUCGAGUUCGGGAGAGGUGAGUGGAACUGCGAGUGUAGAGGUGAAAUUCGUAGAUAUUCGCAAGAACACCAGUGGCGAAGGCGGCUCACUGGCCCGGUACUGACGCUGAGGUGCGAAAGCGUGGGGAGCAAACAGG
rnacentral:rRNA from 1 species